GGGACACGUGGUAUCCUGUCUGAAUAUGGGGGGACCAUCCUCCAAGGCUAAAUACUCCUGACUGACCGAUAGUGAACCAGUACCGUGAGGGAAAGGCGAAAAGAACCCCGGCGAGGGGAGUGAAAAAGAACCUGAAACCGUGUACGUACAAGCAGUGGGAGCACGCUUAGGCGUGUGACUGCGUACCUUUUGUAUAAUGGGUCAGCGACUUAUAUUCUGUAGCAAGGUUAACCGAAUAGGGGAGCCGAAGGGAAACCGAGUCUUAACUGGGCGUUAAGUUGCAGGGUAUAGACCCGAAACCCGGUGAUCUAGCCAUGGGCAGGUUGAAGGUUGGGUAACACUAACUGGAGGACCGAACCGACUAAUGUUGAAAAAUUAGCGGAUGACUUGUGGCUGGGGGUGAAAGGCCAAUCAAACCGGGAGAUAGCUGGUUCUCCCCGAAAGCUAUUUAGGUAGCGCCUCGUGAAUUCAUCUCCGGGGGUAGAGCACUGUUUCGGCAAGGGGGUCAUCCCGACUUACCAACCCGAUGCAAACUGCGAAUACCGGAGAAUGUUAUCACGGGAGACACACGGCGGGUGCUAACGUCCGUCGUGAAGAGGGAAACAACCCAGACCGCCAGCUAAGGUCCCAAAGUCAUGGUUAAGUGGGAAACGAUGUGGGAAGGCCCAGACAGCCAGGAUGUUGGCUUAGAAGCAGCCAUCAUUUAAAGAAAGCGUAAUAGCUCACUGGUCGAGUCGGCCUGCGCGGAAGAUGUAACGGGGCUAAACCAUGCACCGAAGCUGCGGCAGCGACGCUUAUGCGUUGUUGGGUAGGGGAGCGUUCUGUAAGCCUGCGAAGGUGUGCUGUGAGGCAUGCUGGAGGUAUCAGAAGUGCGAAUGCUGACAUAAGUAACGAUAAAGCGGGUGAAAAGCCCGCUCGCCGGAAGACCAAGGGUUCCUGUCCAACGUUAAUCGGGGCAGGGUGAGUCGACCCCUAAGGCGAGGCCGAAAGGCGUAGUCGAUGGGAAACAGGUUAAUAUUCCUGUACUUGGUGUUACUGCGAAGGGGGGACGGAGAAGGCUAUGUUGGCCGGGCGACGGUUGUCCCGGUUUAAGCGUGUAGGCUGGUUUUCCAGGCAAAUCCGGAAAAUCAAGGCUGAGGCGUGAUGACGAGGCACUACGGUGCUGAAGCAACAAAUGCCCUGCUUCCAGGAAAAGCCUCUAAGCAUCAGGUAACAUCAAAUCGUACCCCAAACCGACACAGGUGGUCAGGUAGAGAAUACCAAGGCGCUUGAGAGAACUCGGGUGAAGGAACUAGGCAAAAUGGUGCCGUAACUUCGGGAGAAGGCACGCUGAUAUGUAGGUGAAGUGAUUUACUCAUGGAGCUGAAAUCAGUCGAAGAUACCAGCUGGCUGCAACUGUUUAUUAAAAACACAGCACUGUGCAAACACGAAAGUGGACGUAUACGGUGUGACGCCUGCCCGGUGCCGGAAGGUUAAUUGAUGGGGUUAGCGCAAGCGAAGCUCUUGAUCGAAGCCCCGGUAAACGGCGGCCGUAACUAUAACGGUCCUAAGGUAGCGAAAUUCCUUGUCGGGUAAGUUCCGACCUGCACGAAUGGCGUAAUGAUGGCCAGGCUGUCUCCACCCGAGACUCAGUGAAAUUGAACUCGCUGUGAAGAUGCAGUGUACCCGCGGCAAGACGGAAAGACCCCGUGAACCUUUACUAUAGCUUGACACUGAACAUUGAGCCUUGAUGUGUAGGAUAGGUGGGAGGCUUUGAAGUGUGGACGCCAGUCUGCAUGGAGCCGACCUUGAAAUACCACCCUUUAAUGUUUGAUGUUCUAACGUGGACCCGUAAUCCGGGUUGCGGACAGUGUCUGGUGGGUAGUUUGACUGGGGCGGUCUCCUCCUAAAGAGUAACGGAGGAGCACGAAGGUUGGCUAAUCCUGGUCGGACAUCAGGAGGUUAGUGCAAUGGCAUAAGCCAGCUUGACUGCGAGCGUGACGGCGCGAGCAGGUGCGAAAGCAGGUCAUAGUGAUCCGGUGGUUCUGAAUGGAAGGGCCAUCGCUCAACGGAUAAAAGGUACUCCGGGGAUAACAGGCUGAUACCGCCCAAGAGUUCAUAUCGACGGCGGUGUUUGGCACCUCGAUGUCGGCUCAUCACAUCCUGGGGCUGAAGUAGGUCCCAAGGGUAUGGCUGUUCGCCAUUUAAAGUGGUACGCGAGCUGGGUUUAGAACGUCGUGAGACAGUUCGGUCCCUAUCUGCCGUGGGCGCUGGAGAACUGAGGGGGGCUG
rnacentral:rRNA from 1 species